rnacentral:rRNA from 1 species
GACGAACGCUGGCGGCGUGCCUAACACAUGCAAGUCGAGCGAGAUCCAUCCAGUGGCAACACUGGUGAAGAUCUAGCGGCGAACGGGUGAGUAACACGUGAGAAACCUGCCCCGGAGACCGGGAUAACCCGAGGACACUCGGGCUAAUACCGGAUACCCCCACCGAACCGCAUGAUUUGGUGAGGAAAUGCUCCGACGCUCCGGGAGGGUCUCGCGGCCUAUCAGCUCGUUGGUGAGGUAACGGCUCACCAAGGCUAAGACGGGUAGCUGGUCUGAGAGGACGAUCAGCCACACUGGGACUGAGACACGGCCCAGACUCCUACGGGAGGCAGCAGUGGGGAAUCUUGCGCAAUGGGCGAAAGCCUAACGCAGCAACGCCGCGUGGGGGAUGAAGGCUCUCGGGUUGUAAACCCCUUUCAGGAGGGACGAAAAUGACGGUACCUCCAGAAGAAGCCCCGGCCAACUACGUGCCAGCAGCCGCAGUAA